CAGGCCUAACACAUGCAAGUCGAACGAGACCUUCGGGUCUAGUGGCGCACGGGUGCGUAACGCGUGGGAAUCUGCCCUCGGUUCGGAAUAACAGCGGGAAACUGCUGCUAAUACCGAACGAUGACGUAAGUCCAAAGAUUUAUCGCCGGAGGAUGAGCCCGCGUAGGAUUAGCUAGUUGGUGUGGUAAAGGCGCACCAAGGCGACGAUCCUUAGCUGGUCUGAGAGGAUGAUCAGCCACACUGGGACUGAGACACGGCCCAGACUCCUACGGGAGGCAGCAGUGGGGAAUAUUGGACAAUGGGCGAAAGCCUGAUCCAGCAAUGCCGCGUGAGUGAUGAAGGCCUUAGGGUUGUAAAGCUCUUUUACCCGGGAUGAUAAUGACAGUACCGGGAGAAUAAGCUCCGGCUAACUCCGUGCCAGCAGCCGCGGUAAUACGGAGGGAGCUAGCGUUGUUCGGAAUUACUGGGCGUAAAGCGCACGUA
rnacentral:rRNA from 1 species